rnacentral:tRNA from 29 species
GCCGGUAUAGCUCAAUUGGUAGAGCACCUGACUUGUAAUCAGGGGGUUGUGGGUUCAAGUCCUAUUGCCGGCACCA